rnacentral:lncRNA from 1 species
AUAUACUAAAGCAGAAGAAACUUUUCACUCGGCGUCAUCACCAUCGUUCUCCGUAUCAUUAUCUUCAAGAAACUCAUCUCAGCAUCAGCGUCCUUAUCGGUCGUUGGUUUCGCAGGGUCGUAGCUGCAGUUGAAACAAGCCUCUCGUGCCUUCACCUGAGCUCCUUCAUAAGUAGCCUUAGAAACAUUUCCUGCCUCCCAAAAACUCUUGUAUACAUCUCGUUGGGCCUCGGCAUGAACCCAAGGCUCAUGCAAGUGAUGAGGAACAGUGGCAGAGGCAGAUUCAACUUGAGCCAGCAAUUGUGCCUUUUCAGCCUCAAGGAUAGGGACCCAAUCUCCCAAGUUUGAAUCUUCCAGGUAUAUUUUGCCAAUGUACUCUUCGAGCCUCGUCUCCCUUAGCGUGGUCGUUGCGCUCUCGAAUUCCUACUAGGAUUGAAGGACACAGAUAGUGCCCUCCAAUGCCACCGCCCUUGCUAAAUCUGACGCUCGAGCAUUCUCGGCAUUCUCCAACUCGGACACCUUUCUCUCCAGCUCGGCUAACUUCCCCAUCCAUUCUGCACUCAAAGCUUCAACUCUGGCUGCAUUUUGAUCAAGCUCGUAUUGCAACACCUUCACCUUCACCUGGAGAUGCUCACACUCUGCAGCGAACCCCUUUCCCAACUUAAGUUCUUCAUCCUUUUACACAAAGUAGCUCAUCGAGCUCAC